GGCCUUGAGAUGACGAGGAUAUUGGCUGACUCUUAAUCAGCGGGUCCAAGGUUCGAGUCCUUGUGCGCCCACCA
rnacentral:tRNA from 1 species